CCACGCUGAUGGUAGUCUUACACAUGCAGUCCAUGGGUAUCACCUGUACUUCAGGAUUCCACACCUUCGCAGGGUUGCCUAACGCGUAUGCCAUCUACCUUUUACAGAUGGAUAGCCCAAAGAAAUUUGUAUUAAUACCUCAUAAUAUUAUGAAAUGGCAUCAUUUUAUAAUUAAAGUCUCAACGGUGAAAGAUGAUCAUGCGUCCCAUUACCGAUUUGGUAAGGUAACGGCUUAGCAAGGCUACUAUGGGUAGGGGUCCUGAGAGGGAGAUCCCGCACACUGGUACUGAAACACGGACCAAACUCCUACGGGAGGCAGCAUGGAGGAAUAGUGGACAAUGGGCACAAGCCUGAUCCACCCAUGCCGCGUGCAGGAUGACGGUCCUAUGGAUUGAAAACUGCUUUUAUACAGGAAAAAACCCUGGUUCCUGAACCAGCUUGACGGUUCUGUAUGAAAAAAGAUCGGUUAACUCCCUGCCAGACUCCGUUUAAGUACUGAUGAUGCUCGCGGUAUCCGGAAGCAUUGAAUUUAAUGGGCCCGCAGGCGUUUUAGUACGUCUGAGUUGAAUUCAGAUCGAUCAUCGGUGAAACGGUCAUUGAGACUGAUACUCUUGAAUUAUUAGGAACUAACUAAAAUAUGUCCUGUAGCGAUGAUAUGCCUAGAAAUUACAUGGACAUACCAAUUGCGAAGGCAUGUUACUACUACUUGAUUGACGCUGAUGGACGAAAGCGUGUGUAACGAACAUGAUUACAUACCCUGGUAAGUCCACGCCGCUCACGAUGUAUACUCGCUGCUGUGGGCAACUUCAGUGGCUAAUCGAAAGUGAUAUGUAUCACACUUGAUGGAGUACGUUACCGAGGAUGGACUGAUUUCACUAGAGAGGUGCUAAACAAGCGGGGAGCAUGUGAUUCAAUGAGAUGAGAUCGAGGUAGCAUACCAGGAUUACAUGUACUGCUGACCGAUUAGUAAGAGAUUUUCGUCAUACAAUUACGACGUGCUGCAUGCUAGUCGUCGCUCGUGCUGUGAAGAAGUCAGUACGUCUAUACGACGCCAUCCUGUGUGGUAUUGGCUGGCGAAUGCAUGUCGGCACUCGUACAAGACUGCCAUGCAGUCUGUGCAGGAAAGGGUUGGAUGCGUUCCAUCGAUAUACCAGGUGCGUGAGACCUGCGCUCAGACGGUUACAUUGCCGCUCAAGAUAACAGCCACUGGGCGACCAGGAGCGAAUCUAUAAAACCGGUCACAGUUCGGAUCGGAGUCUGCAACUCGACUCCGUGAAGCUGGAAUCGCUAGUAAUCGGAUAUCAGCCAUGAUCCGGUGAAUACGUUCCCGGGCCUUGUACACACCGCCUGGCAAACCAUGGAAGAUGGGGGUGCCUGAAGUCGGUGACCGCAAGGAGCUGCCUAGGUAAACGCACGCCC
rnacentral:rRNA from 1 species